AGGGUUGUGGCUCAGCGGUAGAGUGCUCACCUAGCACAGGUGAGGCCCUGGGUUCGAUUCUCAGCACCCCAU
rnacentral:tRNA from 1 species